rnacentral:rRNA from 1 species
AUGAGGAACAAUCGGUUGUUCCAGUCCCUUGGCAUCGGUGAAAUAGCGUCGAUGCUUAGGAAAACAAAUGAUGUACGAGAAGGUAGAAGUGAUGAGGUUCAAGAAGGUAGUGGAGUUAUCAAUGAUGACCCAGAGUACAAUCCUAAGGAGGAUGAAGUUAUUGAUGGAGAGGAAGUGGAUGAUGUUGUAGUGAGCAAGACUGUUAAGGUGCAAACUCUGUCUUGCUUGGAGGGCCGGGAAGAGCUCAGAAACAUCUGUUGUAAUGCCUCCAGGAAGGGUGAUGGCCCCAGCUCCAGGAAAAAAAAGAGGAUCCUGGAACCUGAUGAACCUGCCCUUGAUAGAGUCACAAGGUAG